GUUGAAACACCGGUUUCCGUACGAUCACCCAAGUUAAGAAACGUCGAGCCUGGUCAGUACGUAGAUGAGUAACCGCCCAGGAAUACAAUGUUCUGUCA